CUGUUGGGUUGAACAACUUUACAGAAAGCUGGAAGUUUCUGUUUCUAGACUGGGUAAGCUUUACAAAAGGUUGGUUGCUUUUGUUACUUGAUUGGAUAAACUUUACAGAAGGUUGGUAGCUAAUGUUUUUAGAUUAGACAAACUUUACAGAAGGUUGGUAUCUACUGUUUGUAGAUUGGACUAACUUUACAGAAGGCUGGUAGAUUCUGUUACUAUAGUGGACAAACUUUACAGAAGGCUGGUAUCUACUGUUUGUAGAUUGGAUAAAUUUUACAGAAGGUUGGUAUCUACUGUUUGUAAAUUGGGUAAACU